CUUGGUCAUUUAGAGGAAGUAAAAGUCGUAACAAGGUUUCCGUAGGUGAACCUGCGGAAGGAUCAUUACAGUGCCUGCGGGGCGUCGGUUAACCACCGGCGCCGCCGCAACUGGCCACCCGUGUCUGCCUUACCUCCGUUGCUUCGGCGGGCCCGUCCCCAGUGGACCGCCGGGGGAGCGUGCGUACGCGCCCCUAGGAUCUUUCAGCGCAAGCGUACCCACGCCCGCUGGGAGGACUAGGCGCGCGUACGUACGCGCCCCGGGCCAGCGCCCGCCAAGGGACCCUCAAAACUCCUGUGAAGCAGUGCCGUCUGAGUCGAUAUAUAAUCGAAAUAAAACUUUCAACAACGGAUCUCUUGGUUCCGGCAUCGAUGAAGAACGCAGCGAAAUGCGAUAAGUAAUGUGAAUUGCAGAAUUCCGUGAAUCAUCGAAUCUUUGAACGCACAUUGCGCCCUCUGGUAUUCCGGGGGGCAUGCCUGUCCGAGCGUCAUUGCAAACCCUCAAGCUCGGCUUGUGUGAUGGGUCCCGCGUCCGCCUCCCGGGGCGGACGGGCCCGAAACGCAGUGGCGGCGUCGCGGUAAUCCGAUCAGCCAGAGCGUAUGGGGACAUCUCGUCACACGCUCCAGGUGCGGACCGGCGCCCGCCCGAGACCAAAUCUCACAUCAAGGUUUGACCUCGGAUCAGGUAGGGAUACCCGCUGAACUUAAGCAUAUCAAUAAGCGGAGGA
rnacentral:misc_RNA from 1 species